CAGAACCCAUGGCAGAAACUCCUUUGUUUUUCAUAGGGCACAAUUCCCUCCCCAACUUGCGAAAUCUCCUAUUUUCAGAGGGCACAAUUUCCUUUUAAACUCAUGAUAGCUUUCAGUUAGGGCUUAAUUCCUCUCAUUAUCUCUCUAUUGAGUAAGUGGGUGCAAUCCCAAUAACAAAGGUCAAACGCCUAAGUUUGAAGAUGCUUUCACUUUGGAGUUCCCUCUUACUUCACCAGUGAGGUAGAAAGGUAUGGACUGCGUACACUAUCCUCUGCAGACCCAACUUUUGGAAAUACACCGGGAUUUUGUGGUAGGAUCAGCAUCAUUGGUUGGAAAAGGCUUGUCAUGUGUUCCUAUUUAAAGGAGGAAUAGAGAUGCUCGACCAUCAAUUAAUUUAACUCCAGCCCAGGAAAUUGGCCAUUGAGGCCUGCCUCUUUAAGAAGACGUUGAAUGUCCAUUAUAUAGUACAAAUACGCAUGGAGGAGGAAUAAGAAAAAUGGGUUAAAGUCUCAUCUUUUAAGCAGCAAAAGGAGGCUUUAAAGUUCCAUUAUUUUUCAUCGUUGUCUUCAUUUAUAUAGUUAUUUUCUUUAUUCAUUUCUUUGGGGCCUCGAAGCCAAAGUUUUAAAUUUAAUACAGGUGAAGUGAAAA